rnacentral:rRNA from 1 species
GAUGAACGCUGGCGGCGUGCCUAAUACAUGCAAGUCGAACGCUUCACUUCGGUGAAGAGUGGCGAACGGGUGAGUAAUACAUAAGUAACCUGGCAUCUACAGGGGGAUAACUGAUGGAAACGUCAGCUAAGACCGCAUAGGUGUAGAGAUCGCAUGAACUCUAUAUGAAAAGUGCUACGGGACUGGUAGAUGAUGGACUUAUGGCGCAUUAGCUGGUUGGUAGGGUAACGGCCUACCAAGGCGACGAUGCGUAGCCGACCUGAGAGGGUGACCGGCCACACUGGGACUGAGACACGGCCCAGACUCCUACGGGAGGCAGCAGUAGGGAAUUUUCGGCAAUGGGGGAAACCCUGACCGAGCAACGCCGCGUGAAGGAAGAAGUAAUUCGUUAUGUAAACUUCUGUCAUAGAGGAAGAACGGUGGAUAUAGGGAAUGAUAUCCAAG